rnacentral:rRNA from 1 species
GACGAACGCUGGCGGCGUGCUUAACACAUGCAAGUCGAACGGAAAGGCCCUGCUUUUGUGGGGUGCUCGAGUGGCGCACGGGUGAGUAACACGAGAGUAACCUGCCCUUGACUUUGGGAUAACUUCAGGAAACUGGGGCUAAUACCGGAUAGGAGCUCCUGCUCCAUGGUGGGGGUUGGAAAGUUUCGGCGGUUGGGGCUGGACUCGGGGCUUCUCCGCUUGUUGGUGGGGUAGUGGCUUACCCAGGCUUCGACGGGUAGCCGGCCGGCGCGGGUGACCGGCGACGUGGGGACUGAGGGACGGCCCAGACGCCUAGGGGAGGCAGCAGUGGGGAAUAGUGCACAAUGGGGGGAAGCCUGAUGCAGCAACGCCGCGGGCGGGAUGACGGCCUUCGGGUUGUAAACCGCUUUCGCCUGUGACGAAGCGUGAGUGACGGUAAUGGGUAAAGAAGCACCGGCUAGCUACGUG